rnacentral:tRNA from 1 species
CGGGAUGUGGCGCAGUGGUUUAGCGUACGCGUCUGGGGGGCGUGUGGUCGGUGGUUCAAAUCCACUCAUCCCGA